UGCCAGCAGCCGCGGUAAUACGUGAGCCCCACGCAUUAUCCGGAAUCAUUGGGCGUAAAGGGUCCGUAGGCGGCCAUAUUAGUCUCUUGUUAAAGCACCGGGCUCAACCCGGGACAGGCAAGGGAAACGGUAUGGCUAGAGGAUGACAGAGGUGAAUGGAACUCAAGGUGUAGGGGUGAAAUCCGUUGAUAUCUUGGGGAACACCGAAUGCGAAGGCAAUUCACUGGGUCAUUUCUGACGCUGAGGGACGAAACCCUGGGUAGCGAAUGGGAUUAGAUA
rnacentral:rRNA from 1 species